CCUACGGGUGGCUGCAGUGAGGAAUAUUGGUCAAUGGGCUUACGCCUGAACCAGCCAAGUCGCGUGAGGGAAGACUGCCCUAUGGGUUGUAAACCUCUUUUGUCAGGGAGCAACGCCGGCUACGUGUAGCCGGACUGAGAGUACCUGAAGAAAAAGCAUCGGCUAACUACGUGCCAGCAGCCGCGGUAAUACGUAGGGAGCAAGCGUUGUCCGGAAUUACUGGGUGUAAAGGGAGCGUAGGCGGGAGGAUAAGUUGAAUGUGAAAUCUAUGGGCUCAACCCAUAGCUGCGUUCAAAACUGGUCUUCUUGAGUGAAGUAGAGGCAGGCGGAAUUCCUAGUGUAGCGGUGAAAUGCGUAGAUAUUAGGAGGAACACCAGUGGCGAAGGCGGCCUGCUGGGCUUUUACUGACGCUGAGGCUCGAAAGCGUGGGUAGCAAACAGGAUUAGAUACCCCAGUAGUC
rnacentral:rRNA from 1 species